rnacentral:rRNA from 1 species
GACAGAGGAGCCAAGCGUUGUCCGGAUUGACUGGGCGUAAAGCGCACGCAGGCGGCUGUGCACGUGGGGUGUGAAAGCGCUCGGCUUAACUGAGCGAGGCCACCUCAUACGGCACGGCUCGAGCCCGUGAGAGGUCCACGGAAUUGCCGGUGUAGUGGUGAAAUGCGUAGAGAUCCGGAAGAACACCGGUGGCGAAGGCGGUCUGCUGGGCAGUAGCUGACACUGAGGCGCGACAGCGUGGGGAGCAAACAGG